rnacentral:rRNA from 1 species
UGGGGAAUAUUGGACAAUGGGCGAAAGCCUGAUCAAGCCAUGCCGCGUGUGUGAAGAAGGUCUUCGGAUUGUAAAGCACUUUAAGUUGGGAGGAAGGGUGGUAGCCUAAUACGUUGCAACUUUGACGUUACCGACAGAAUAAGCACCGGCUAACUUCGUGCAAGCAGCCGCGGUAAUACGAAGGGUGCAAGCGUUAAUCGGAAUUACUGGGCGUAAAGCGCGCGUAGGUGGUUUGAUAAGUUGGAUGUGAAAGCCCCGGGCUCAACCUGGGAAUUGCAUCCAAAACUGUCUGACUAGAGUACGGUAGAGGGUGGUGGAAUUUCCUGUGUAGCGGUGAAAUGCGUAGAUAUAGGAAGGAACAUCAGUGGCGAAGGCGACCACCUGGACUGAUACUGACACUGAGGUGCGAAAGCGUGGGGAGCAAACAG